CCAGCUGUAAACGAUGCUAGCUAGGUGUUGGGUCGGCCACGUGCCGCCCCAGUGCCGCAGGGAAGCCGUUAAGCUAGCCGCCUGGGGAGUACGGCCGCAAGGCUGAAACUUAAAGGAAUUGGCGGGGGAGCACCACCAGGCGUGAAGCCUGCGGUUUAAUUGGAGUCAACGCCGGAAAUCUUACCAGGAUCGACAGCAGAGUGAAGGCCAGAUUGAAGGUCUUGCUAGACGAGCUGAGAGGAGGUGCAUGGCCAUCGCCAGUUCGUGCCGUGAGGUGUCCUCUUAAGUGAGGUAACGAACGAGACCCCCACCCACUGUUGCCAUCAGGAUCUAAAGGAUCGCUGGGCACUCUUGGGGACCGGCUGCCGACAAGGCU
rnacentral:rRNA from 1 species